rnacentral:lncRNA from 1 species
GGGGAGGAAGGCCCUGAAUCCAGUGAAUUUAGUCUAAGCCCAAACCUUGACGCACAACAGAAAAUUCCAAAGGGACAUGGAUCCCCAAUAUCUAGGAAAAACUCCAAAGAUAAUUCAGACUUAAUUAAACACCAAAGACUUUUCUCACAAAGAAAACCUUGUAAAUGCAAUGAAUGUGAAAAAGCCUUUAGUUACCAAUCAGACCUUCUUGUACACAGUA